rnacentral:rRNA from 1 species
UACGUAGGUAGCAAGCGUUGUUCGGAAUUACCGGGCGUAAAGAGUGUGUAGGCGGUGUUCUAAGUCUGUCGUGAAAUCUCCCGGCUUAACUGGGAGGGUGCGGCGGAAACUGGAAUGCUAGAGGGUGGGAGAGGAAAGCGGAAUUCCUGGUGUAGCGGUGAAAUGCGUAGAUAUCAGGAGGAACACCAGUGGCGAAGGCGGCUUCCUGGUCUGCGACUGACGCUGUGGCGCGAAAGCUAGGGGAGCAAACGGG